CUUGAAGGGUUUUGAACCACCUGACCUGUGGAACCCAGGUUCUGCUAGAACAUCUUGAAAGACAAAGCUUUAGGACAAAAUUAAUAUUAACAUUGCAGAUUAUGUAAUUCACUUGCACAUAUUUCAGGUUGUUGUAUGUCCUAUUACUUUCUUGCAUGCUCAUGAUUAAUGUUGCAAUUCAUACCAUGUAUCUGUGCUAAACUUGGCGCAUCAGGUAAAUAACUCAAUUGUGAUUAACAUUUCUCACUGGUAUAUAUAACAAAGUUGGAUCAAUGGUUGUGUAUGCCUUGGGCGUUGAUUUGGCUGCCCCUGACCGGCGAGGAGCAUGUAGAACAAAUGAUGCAAGCUCAUAAAAGGAGAAAGAAAUGUCACUUGUACGCCCUCAGAUAAUAUUGUUGAUGGCAUGAGUAAAGAGGCUCAGUUCUACCGAACAUCGAUUCAUGGGCUGAUAGAGGCGUGGGACAUGGACAAAGAUGGGUCAUCACCACGAACGGAGCAAGUAGCACUUAGCACUCACAAGAGGCCUUUUAGCAGUUGUGACACACUAGGGCAUAACCAUUCCCAGUUCAGAGAGAACUUAGUAACUAGAAUGAUGUUUGAUGUUUUUUUUAGUACGCUUUGAGUUUUUUUGUCUUCUGUCAUCACUGGGACCUCAACAAAGGAGUAUCCUUAGUGACAUUUAGCUCAGCUUUUGUUCUCCCAAAGGAUGUAACAAUAUCAAAAGAUGUUUGAUGAUCAAUUUUUGUUUUCUCGAAUUCAA